GAUGAAGAACGCAGCGAAAUGCGAUAAGUAAUGUGAAUUGCAGAAUUCAGUGAAUCAUCGAAUCUUUGAACGCAUCUUGCGCUCCUUGGUAUUCUGAGGAGCAUGCCUGUUUGAGUGUCAUUAAAUUCUCAACUACACUGACUUUGAAUUGGUGUGGCUUGGAUUUGGAGGGAAAAUUGUUGUGGGCUUUUUGUAUAGUCUGCUCCCCUGAAAUUGAUUAGCGGUACCUUUGUGGAACUGUCUACAGGUGUGAUAAUUAUCUACAUCUUAGACAUCUGCUGGAAUGCUGCUUUCUAAACCUUACUUGUAUUGACAAUCUUGACCUCAAAUCAGGUAGGACUACCCGCUGAACUUAAGCAUAUCAAUAAGCGGAGGA
rnacentral:misc_RNA from 1 species